UUUAGUUGCCAUCAUUUAGUUGGGUACUCUAAAGGAACCGCCGGUGAUAAGCCGGAGGAAGGUGGGGAUGACGUCAAGUCCUCAUGGCCCUUACGCGUUGGGCUACACACGUGCUACAAUGGCGACUACAGUGGGCAGCCACCUCGCGAGAGGGAGCUAAUCUCCAAAAGUCGUCUCAGUUCGGAUCGUUCUCUGCAACUCGAGAGCGUGAAGGCGGAAUCGCUAGUAAUCGCGGAUCAGCAUGCCGCGGUGAAUACGUUCCCAGGCCUUGUACACACCGCCCGUCACACCAUGGGAGUUGGAUUCACUCGAAGGCGUUGAGCUAACCGCAAGGAGGCAGGCGACCACAGUGGGUUUAGCGACUGGGGUGAAUC
rnacentral:rRNA from 1 species